rnacentral:rRNA from 1 species
GAUGAACGCUGACAGAAUGCUUAACACAUGCAAGUCAACUGUGGCGGACGGGUGAGUAACGCGUAAAGAACUUGCCUCACAGCUAGGGACAACAUUUGGAAACGAAUGCUAAUACCUGCUACUGUGUGAGAGCUUUGCGUCCCAUUAGCUAGUUGGAGAGGUAACGGCGCACCAAGGCGAUGAUGGGUAGCCGGCCUGAGAGGGUGAUCGGCCACAAGGGGACUGAGACACGGCCCUGACUCCUACGGGAGGCAGCAGUGGGGAAUAUUGGACAAUGGACCAAAGUCUGAUCCAGCAAUUCUGUGUGCACGAUGAAUUUUUCGGAAUGUAAAGUGCUUUCAUUUGGGAAGCGGUACCAACAUAAGAAGUGACGGCUAAAUACGUGCCAGCAGCCGCGGUAAUUC